rnacentral:rRNA from 1 species
UACGAAGGGGGCGAGCGUUGUUCGGAUUUACUGGGCGUAAAGGGCGCGCAGGCGGCGCAUUUUGUCAGGCGUGAAAGCCCCGGGCUUAACCUGGGAACUGCGUUUGAUACGGAUGGGCUAGAGUUCGGGAGAGGAGAGUGGAAUUCCCAGUGUAGAGGUGAAAUUCGUAGAUAUCGGGAGGAACACCAGUGGCGAAGGCGGCUGCCUGGGCCAGUUCUGACGCUGAGGCGCGAAAGCGUGGGGAGCAAACAGG